UACGUAGGGUGCAAGCGUUAAUCGGAAUUACUGGGCGUAAAGCGUGCGUAGGCGGUUCGUUAAGUCAGCUGUGAAAGCCCCGGGCUCAACCUGGGAACUGCGGUUGAAACUGGCGAACUAGAAUCUGGCAGGAGGGGGGUGGAAUUCCACGUGUAGCAGUGAAAUGCGUAGAGAUGUGGAGGAACACCGAUGGCGAAGGCAGCCCCCUGGGCUGAGAUUGACGCUCAGGCACGAAAGCGUGGGGAGCAAACAGG
rnacentral:rRNA from 1 species